AACGAACGCUGGCGGCAUGCCUAACACAUGCAAGUCGAACGAGACCUUCGGGUAUAGUGGCGCACGGGUGCGUAACGCGUGGGAACCUGCCCUUAGGUUCGGAAUAACUCCCCGAAAGGGGUGCUAAUACCGGAUAAUGUCUUCGGACCAAAGAUUUAUCGCCUUUGGAUGGGCCCGCGUUGGAUUAGCUAGUUGGUAGGGUAAAAGCCUACCAAGGCGACGAUCCAUAGCUGGUCUGAGAGGAUGAUCAGCCACACUGGGACUGAGACACGGCCCAGACUCCUACGGGAGGCAGCAGUGGGGAAUAUUGGACAAUGGGCGAAAGCCUGAUCCAGCAAUGCCGCGUGAGUGAUGAAGGCCUUAGGGUUGUAAAGCUCUUUUACCCGGGAUGAUAAUGACAGUACCGGGAGAAUAAGCUCCGGCUAACUCCGU
rnacentral:rRNA from 1 species